CAAUCCAUGAGUAGAGUGGCAAACGGGUGAGUAACGCGUGGGUGACCUGCCUUCGAGCGGGGGAUAACGUUUCGAAAGGAACGCUAAUACCGCAUGACAUCCUGCCUUUGAAGAGGUGGAGAUCAAAGCUGGGGAUCGCAAGACCUAGCACUUGAAGAGGGGCCCGCGUCUGAUUAGCUAGUUGGUGAGGUAACGGCUCACCAAGGCGACGAUCAGUAUCCGGCCUGAGAGGGCGGACGGACACACUGGGACUGAGACACGGCCCAGACUCCUACGGGAGGCAGCAGUGGGGAAUUGUUCGCAAUGGGCGCAAGCCUGACGACGCAACGCCGCGUGGAGGAUGAAGACCUUCGGGUCGUAAACUCCUUUCGAUCGAGACGAAAGACUUCCGGGUGAACAAUCCGGGAG
rnacentral:rRNA from 1 species